AUCCCGUUGCUUUUGAGAUUCGGAGUUGGCAGUUCUUUUUCUUGUUGGCGAGAGUUUGUGCUGGUGAAUUUUCUUUUGCUUUUUUCUGGUGUUUUUCCCAAGAAUUCACGUACUUGCCAUGGCUCCUCGGACCAAGCGGAGCAGCUUUAUGGUGUUCGUCAACCAUUGGCGCAAGGAUCACCCAAAUAUGGACGUUGUCGAGGCGGUGUCUCACUGCAGCCCCAUUUGGGAGAAUAUGACUGCGCAGGAGCGGUUGACUUUUGGCGGCAUCUGUGCGAGCGGCAAAGAAACGCUCGACCAGAUGGACCGUGUGAUGCGCGAGAAAAGCGACCAGGAGGAGAACAUGCAGCGCACCAUCGAGCGCAUGGUAAUGGAGGGAAAGAAGUCUCAAGAUCUGGAGAAUACCAAGUUCCUGUUUUGUGCCUUUGUUCACUUCGUUAGAGAUCCUGAUGGCGAUUUCUAUGUGCCCGCCGAGUUCGGCGCCUGCGAAUACUCCCUGAAAGAGGGCAUAAUUUCCGUGUUUAGCUCACUAAUAGACCCCGGCCAUCUCAGUUUGGGUCUGGGCCGGACUGCCCAGGAUCAUUCCCGGGCUACACACAAGCUGCCAUUGCCGCCGAUGGCCCUGGGCGAGAGCAACAUGUCCAAGCUCUAUUCUCAGAUAAACAGAUAUAUUUGCAAGUUCCAGGAUCGUAUGCCAGCGAUCGUGUUCACCACCACGGCCAUGAGACGGAUCGUGGAGUCAUGCUUCGACUACUUGGCCAGCGGCGCCAAGGAGGAUUUUCUACCAAAAAUUGUGGUCUAUGACAUCCAGUACUUGUUCAUGACCCUGAAGAAGGCGACCCUCGAUAUAGCCGGCCAGCUGAAUGACAAGAUCAAUUUGAUAAUAACGGACGGAUUCUUCCUAAGGGAUUUCUUUGAGUUUGCCAGCCACAUCGGCUGCGAGUUCCAUGAGGAGAAGGACUGCGCCAAUUACUGCGCUCAGAGCAUGGUGAUACGCUGGGCCUUCACCUUCAGCGACUAUAUGUGCCGUGAUCUUGGCAUUUUUAUAGAACCUGGCAAGCAUGUACCAUCCAAGCUAAAGACCAAUUACAAAACCCAUACGCCUGACACCAGAAGCGCGGCGCUCGUCGGUGAAACUUUGCUGGAUUCCUUUCAAUCUUUGGCAACUUUUCAAGACUUGGAAAUCAACCAGGCCAACAAAAGUCGUCGUCAGCGUUUGGAUGUCUCCACGAUUGCCAGUCAAUGCUCCAAUGCCACGAAUGAAAAAGAGCUUGAGAACAUCGAGAACAAGCAUGGCGAACAUCGUUAUGAGGAGUCUUCGGGGGCCACUUCACCGAUUAGCAGUCAAUUUUCGAGCUCAUGCGGUCCUUAUGUACCCAAGGGUCUAAGAGGCCGCUCAGGGGUCAGGAAAUCUUCCCGCCAAAGACGUCAUUGCCGUGACUUGGAGCGCCGUUCUCAAUACGACUUUCCACGUUCUAGUGAGCCUAUUCCUAAUGGAGCGACGGAUCAAAAAGACUUGAAGGAGAUCGAGAAAUUUGACUAUCAGGGCGAACACAGCGCUCCCAAUGAGUUGCCGGACACAAGCGAUUUCGGGGAGGACGAGCAAUUUGAUAGCGAAGGCGGACGUCGUCAUAAGGAGUUUUCGGAGCCCUCUCUCCCUCUCUCUCCGAUUAACCAUCAUCGUUCAAGGGAGGAGUCUCAGAAAGGCGUCUUAAAGGAAAACAAUUAUCAGCGCCAAGUCGACUUGGAGCGUCGCUCCCCUGAGAAGUUUUUUGACUACAUCACCUCGAUUGUUCCUGACGGACCAAUGGAUAAAAGAGCCUCCUCCCCAAAAGCUAAGGCGUAUCCUUAUCAAGACGGGCCGUCAACUGACUCGCAAUUCCGCUCAUCUGAGGAGUUUUCGUACAAGUUCCCACCGCAUACCAGUCGGCGUCCGAGUAAGACUAUUCAACAUGGAGCCACAACCCAAAAAGAAUUCUCAAAGGCAGAGAAUUAUAUCCACCAUCACCCCGAUCAAUUAGUAGACUCACAGCGGCAUUCCCCUGUGUUGUUUUGGGACGAAAUCACCACAUUAGACGGUCGUCGUUCAAAUGCGGUUGGUACUUACUCCUGUCCAAUGGCCAAGAAAUAUCACCGCCAAGGCGGACAUCACCGUAAUUCGUUUCUUGACACCCAACACGACUCUUCUGAUGAAUUUUCGGACGAUAUUUCUGCGCUUAACACUGGUCCUUCGAGUGACAGAGCCACGGAUCCAAAAGGCUUCUCAAGGGCCAAGGAAUAUUCACGCCAUAGCGGGUGUAAUCGUUAUCCGUCCAACUCGAAGCAACUCGAUUAAAAGGAUUUCGGACAAAAACUAGAUGAAUAUGAAUCUCUACUGGCGUUUCUUCAUGUAAAUAUGAUUGAAAAAAACAAAAAAACCAAGGAGGAACUAAGAACACCCGGAAAUAUGUAAUAUCCUUUAUAAUUGAUCAUAAGGAACUUAUAUCUUUUGUAUAGAGUAUAUAUUUUACUCCGAACCAAGACCAUAUACCAAAUUCUGCUAAGGAAACUGCUGCUGAACCCCAAGUUACUUCGGUUAUUUUUAACUGCGGAAACUCAAUUGGAGCAUGGAAAGUACAUUGGCAGAACGCCUGAGUAUUUGGUUUGAGAACUGGAACAAGGAACAAGCUGUGAUCAGCGAAAACAAACCCCUUGCCUUGCUAUAUGCAUUUGUUUCUAUAUAUCAAGAGCUGCCAAUCAAGCGAUCUCCGAUGAUCCAUCCCCGGGGCACACAACUGUACCUCGAGCGGGGACAAAAAGUGGACAAAAGGGUCAAUGCAGCCGUGGAGGGACAGUUGGUCAGUGAUUGACAAUGCCCGUUGGCUGGCUGCAUCCUUUGUUGUGGCUAAUCCCUGUGAAAAUCGGCAAUUGCUGCUUGCUCUCGCACAGAUUCGGCUAUUCUGCUUUUCCAGUUUCCAGCGGAAUCCACAAAUAAUUGCGGCCAAAUGACGCGCAGGCGGCGGCGAUCGAUCCCACCGUAUAGAAAGCGGUAUUCGGUCCCGUCAAGCCUUUUCCCCGCAUCCUGAUGCCAUGCUGCGUCCAGUUUCCAAAUGCAAACAGAAAUUUUAAUUGCAAAUGCCACACACAUGCACACACGCACACACCGAAGCAGGUAAUGCAGGAUUAUAAAUAUGCAAAAAAGGAGCUCGAACAAUGGGAAUGGAUAACCACACCUGCGACCUUUUUUGCGGUUGUUUGUGCGAUCUUCUGUGUGCGCCCAUUGUUGGUCAGCGCUUUUAGCCCCUUUUCGGAGUGACAGGUUCCCUUUUUUGUUUUCAAUUGCUUUUUCUACGUUUUCCAAUUAAAAGCAGGAGGAGCCGGCUAAAUGUGCAUGUGUGAAAGUCGAAAUGAAAAUAUUCGCAGGCGCUGGCAGAAGUGAGCCGGCCACGCGCACUAGGAAAACCAUCAUCGGCAGCGGCAAUAAUGGAAAUUGACUGGCAGAACGCUGGGUCUGAGCGGGGGGAUGGGGAAACGAAAACGCUGCGCCGAUCGCAGAAGCGGUGUGAAAAGGGUUGAAAAAAUCCGCAAAGUCAUGAAGUUCGGGGGACUAGAAACCAAAACAAUCGUCAAUAUCCGUAAAUACCGCAAUUAAA